rnacentral:lncRNA from 1 species
GGUAUACAUUGCUUCCAAAAAGUAGGGAUUUCUCUUUUUGAGGGUGUGCUCGACUUUGUAAGUUGGAAAUUUGUUAAUAAAUCUCUUAUGGAGAUAUUCUUGUGUUCUUGUAAUUUUCUUAUUUAUGUGGAUGGAUCUCUUGUACUUUUUAUUUCAUUGCUUAGUGGAUCCUUGACUAGGUGUCUCAUGUUUUGUCCCUUCUUCAAAGUG